CGCACACACUGACUGCCCGGGCAUGAGGCUGAAGGAUGAAAUUGCAGGCAGAAGUUCAACCUGAACGCACACGGAAAAUGGAUGAUCAGUACUUCGGAGUAGCGGCAUACACUAUCUCUCACAGUCUCAGUUCAGUUAUCACUCCGCUAUGGCCCAUAUAGGAUGAUCAGUACUUCGGAGUAGCGGCAUACACUAUCUCUCACAGUCUCAGUUCAGUCAUCACUCCGCUAUGGCCCAU